rnacentral:rRNA from 1 species
AUUGAACGCUGGCGGCAUGCCUAACACAUGCAAGUCGAACGGUAACAGGAGCUAGCUUGCUAGCUCGCUGACGAGUGGCGGACGGGUGAGUAAUGCGUAGGAAUUUACCUCAAAGCGGGGGAUAGCCCGGAGAAAUCCGGAUUAAUACCGCAUGUGCUCUACGGAGGAAAGCGGGCCUCUACUUGUAAGCCCGCACUUUGAGAUAAGCCUACGUCGGAUUAGCUAGUUGGUAGGGUAAAAGCCUACCAAGGCGACGAUCCGUAGCUGGGUUGAGAGGAGGAUCAGCCACACUGGGACUGAGACACGGACCAGACUCCUACGGGAGGCGGCAGUGGGGAAUAUUGGACAAUGGGCGAAAGCCUGAUCCAGCAAUGCCGCGUGUGUGAAGAAGGCCUGCGGGUUGUAAAGCACUUUUAUCAGGAAAGAAAAUCUCGGGGCUAAUAUCCCCGGGCCUUGACGGUACCUGAUGAAUAAGCACCGGCUAACUCCGUGCCAGCCGCCGCGGUAACAC